rnacentral:rRNA from 1 species
GUUUGAUCAUGGCUCAGAGCGAACGCUGGCGGCAGGCUUAACACAUGCAAGUCGAGCGCCGUAGCAAUACGGAGCGGCAGACGGGUGAGUAACGCGUGGGAACAUGCCCUUUGGUUUGGAAUAACUCAGGGAAACUUGAGCUAAUACCGGAUAAGCCCCGCAAGGGGGAAAGAUUUAUCGCCGAAGGAUUGGCCCGCGUCCGAUUAGCUAGUUGGUAGGGUAAUGGCCUACCAAGGCGACGAUCAGUAGCUGGUCUGAGAGGAUGAUCAGCCACAUUGGGACUGAGACACGGCCCAAACUCCUACGGGAGGCAGCAGUGGGGAAUAUUGGACAAUGGGCGAAAGCCUGAUCCAGCCAUGCCGCGUGAGUGAUGAAGGCCCUAGGGUUGUAAAGCUCUUUUGUGCGGGAAGAUAAUGACGGUACCGCAAGAAUAAGCCCCGGCUAACUUCGUGCCAGCAGCCGCGGUAAUAAUAGCUGU